UACGUAGGGGGCAAGCGUUGUCCGGAUUUAUUGGGCGUAAAGAGCGUGUAGGUGGCUUUACAGGUCCGUUGUGAAAACUCGAGGCUCAACCUCGAGACGCCGGUGGAAACCGUAAAGCUAGAGUCCGGAAGAGGAGAGUGGAAUUCCUGGUGUAGCGGUGAAAUGCGCAGAUAUCAGGAGGAACACCCGUGGCGAAAGCGGCUCUCUGGGACGGUACUGACGCUGAGACGCGAAAGCGUGGGGAGCAAACAGG
rnacentral:rRNA from 1 species